CAGCCAUCUCAACUUUCAGCGCUCCUAUCCUAAAGGUCCUAACACACACGGAAACCUCCGAGUGUUUAAUCCUGAUUUUGAGCGGCAGCUUCUGACGGGAGGCUUCCUGAGCGGCACCUUCACUUCUCAUCUAGCACCAUCUACUGCCCACGGCGGGCAGGAGCCGCAGCCGCUGCCCAGCCCCGGCCCCGCUGGAGGAGCGCGGAGAGCCGCGGAACUGGCCACGGGCCCUUCCCGCACCGAGCUGGGCACGGGCCCGAAUCCUGACUGAGUUGGGCACGGGCCCUUCCCGCACCGAGCUGGGCACGGCCCUGAAACCUCACCGAGAGGGGCACGGGCCUGAACCUUCACCGAGCUGGGCACGGGCCCGAACCCGCACCAAGCUGGGCACGUCCCCGAACCCUGACUGAGCGGGGCACGGGCACUGCUCCGCACGGAGUCCGCCGGCGCUGCAACACCAGCUCGAACUUUGUGUGGUGAUCCAGAUGCAUACAGAUUCCAAAGACUCUGCUCCGGCAGAGUUAGAAGGACAAAGCACCUGUUCCCCUAGCAGAUUUCUCUGUUCGUACUUGAAGUUGCUGUCAGCUUUGGCCCUGCCUCCCUGGUGCCACAAAGGUGAUUACAACUAUUGAUAUGCAUCCUCCACUCUUUCAAAUGAAGACUAAUGGCUUGAAGCAAUGACUGAUGCCACUUCUUCCAGCAGAAUUAGAGCAGAACAUCACAGGCAGUCACAAGUAUUUAAGAACUGCUGCACACUUCAGAUCUGGCCAAUCUGUCUCAACAGUGGCUAGACACAAAUGCAUAGGAAAGAGUAACAGAAGACUAUGCACAGGAAUAUAUUUUUCCUAACAGUCUCAUG
rnacentral:lncRNA from 1 species